UAGGGAAUCUUCGGCAAUGGACGGAAGUCUGACCGAGCAACGCCGCGUGAGUGAAGAAGGUUUUCGGAUCGUAAAGCUCUGUUGUAAGAGAAGAACGAGUGUGAGAGUGGAAAGUUCACACUGUGACGGUAUCUUACCAGAAAGGGACGGCUAACUACGUGCCAGCAGCCGCGGUAAUACGUAGGUCCUGAGCGUUGUCCGGAUUUAUUGGGCGUAAAGCGAGCGCAGGCGGUUAGAUAAGUCUGAAGUUAAAGGCUGUGGCUUAACCAUAGUAGGCUUUGGAAACUGUUUAACUUGAGUGCAAGAGGGGAGAGUGGAAUUCCAUGUGUAGCGGUGAAAUGCGUAGAUAUAUGGAGGAACACCGGUGGCGAAAGCGGCUCUCUGGCUUGUAACUGACGCUGAGGCUCGAAAGCGUGGGGAGCAAACAGGAUUAGAUACCCUGGUAGUCCACGCUGUAAACGAUGAGUGCUAGGUGUUAGACCCUUUCCGGGGUUUAGUGCCGUAGCUAACGCAUUAAGCACUCCGCCUGGGGAGUACGACCGCAAGGUUG
rnacentral:rRNA from 1 species